UAACCUACAUUAUUUGAUCAUGUAAUGUUUUCAUCUACCCCUCAACUGGCUUAAGGAACCAUUUGAGGGUAGAUUUUUUUUACUUUUAUUUAAAUACCUAAAGAUACAGACUAUACAGGAUAUAAACAAACGGAUACGCCAUGUCUGUAAUUUUCGGUACAAAAAAGUCUGCCGAUUUUUGCGGGGGAGGGGCACGUCAAAUGUAUAGGUAUAGUUUGUAGCUUUCCAAUAGACCCCGAGCAAUAUUUGGCACCUGAGCGCGGGCUAGUUUAACGCUCAAAAAAGCAACUCUGUGUAGAUGCGCUCUCCGAUAACGCGCCUCUGUUACGCAUCAUAACGUAAAAAUAGCCAUGUCAGAUAAACGUCAGUCCAUACAAUGUGUAUAUAGCCGCCUAUUUUCGACAGAGGGGAACGCCUGUUAAUGACUACUCCAUUUGGUUAUAUCCUCUAAGUUUUUUGUGUCCAAUUUAAUGUGAUAAAUUUCUCAUUUUCCUUUUAUUUAACUAAAAUUUGUUAUAAUAUUCAACAUGUGUAGAAUAUAAUAAUUAUCCCAUUCCAAUUAUCUCAUUGCCACAUGUGUUAUCUAAUUAGGGGUCAUCCAUUAAAUACGUCACACGCUUAGGAGGAGGGGGUCAAGAAGUCACAAACUUCGUCACGUCACUUUAACUUCACUUUACGGAAGUGUUCUUUUUGUAUUCGCGGUACAGUCAACUGUAAAAAUAUGGGUGCAUAAAUCAUCUCAAACAUAUGUCCCACAGCUCUUAUGUCGGCGACUUAAGAACUAUGGAACAUAUUUUUACCCAUAAUUGUGGCCUGUAACCAUAUUUUUACAGUUGACUGUACAGCUCAAUAACUAGGUUUUGCAACGUUAUACCUUAUUUAUUUGUUAAGAGGAGACAUGAGCUGAGUUUCAAAUAUUUUAGGUAAAUAUACCCGUCUCGCUAACGGAAGCGGCAACUAAAAGUAGUGCGAUAAGGACAAGGCGAAAAAUCCUGCGUAAAAAUCUCAAGAAUCGAGGUUUCGUACUCCUCUGUUUCCUCCCCCAAAACUUAACCAAUCGUAACCAAAUUUGGAAAUCUAAAUGAUUAUGAAAUUAUCUGUGUCCAACCGUUUUGCUUUUUUGGCUAAUUGAUAUCAGUUUUGAAUGCCACGCCUCUCAUUGCGGCAUAGUCAAUUAGGCCAUUUUGGCCAUUUUUGAAGGGCUCUAGCGCCUUAAUAAACAAAAAUAUCAAAAAAAGCAAAACGGUCCGACACAGAUAUUGACAAUAUUAAUCUGUGUUGAAAAAAUCAUUGCUCUAGCUUCAAAAACCACGGAGGAAAACGAGGAGUACGUUUGUAUGGAGAAAUGACCACUCCUGUUGGCUCUUAACCUUUUCGACGCCGUGUCAAACAUAAAAGCAGUCACACGGACGCCACGUCACCGAUGUGUCAAAACUGAAAUUGAACUUUAUGCAUAUGCACGUAGGUCUAUGUUGCUCUGUGGUCUGUGACCGAUUAAUGCGUCUUUGGCGUUGUGGAUAUAUCGGUCAUUGGCGACCAAAAGGUUAAUUUUUAAUUCAUAAUCGGUUCCCUAUUAAACAAUUGCUGUUAUUAGAAUAUUUUUUAUCAAAAUAAUAAUACUUCAGUAGAAUUGCUAAUUUCGUUGAUAACAAUAUUGCCAAAUAUGUGUAGUCACACCAGGGGAGUGGGGGGUUGCCAAAUGUGACCAGGUGUGACAAGGAAGAGGGGAAGGGGUCAAAAAUCAUGAAAAUCGUGUGAUGUAAUUAUGGAUGACCCCUUAUCAGUGUCUUAUUUCAUUAGUAGUUAGACCAUUUGUAACUAAAUAAAGUACAAAUCGUUAUAACCCUUAAGGUAUCACAAUAAUGUACAUUUUAGUUGCUGUUUAUAGUGUAUAAGAUAAAUAUAUAUGCCUUGUUUAUUAUGUAAAAUAUAUUUAUAAUAAAGUACUAUAAUUGUAA